UGUGGGAUAUUGGUAGUAGGAGUCACACGGGGAUCCUUCUAGGAAGUAGCAUGGAUGCUGACCUCAUUUCCUGUGGCAUUUCUUCCUACAGGAGUACCUUGGCUCUACUCAGCGAGGGACCCAGUGCAUGAUGCAGCAUCCUGGGAGAAGGGGAGCAGGGGGCCAGAAAUGUUUUCCCAGUUUCUGCUCUUUCAGCCUCUGGAGAUGAGUAUUUCGGUUGGGAGGGACUGUGUCAGCAAGAGAGAUGAAGCACGGAGAGAUGAAAUCUCAGCCCUGUACACAGCCUGGCUGCCGUCUGUACCUGGGCCUUGCCGCACCAUCCCUCGAAUGCAAAGCAAUUCAACGAAAAGAGAAAGAGAGGAAUAUCACAGUCUCUCAGGACACGCGCUGACGGGAGGAUUUCUGGAACCUCAACCUCCACUCAGCUUUUUGGGCAGGAAUGGGCCAACCCAGGCAUGUGCUCACUGCAGAAGAGCCCAGGAGAUGCUGGUGCAAAGGCUCACUGCAAGCACCUGCUGCUUCUGGAGGAGUUCCUGUUGCAAUGCAUGUGCUCAGGAUGAAUAGCCACCAUUCAGAUUUCCUUCAGGAAACACACCCUCGCUCCUGUUCACUAUAAGACAGCUGAGAGCAAG
rnacentral:lncRNA from 1 species